GAUGAACGCUGGCGGCGUGCCUAAUACAUGCAAGUCGAGCGAACAGAUGAGGAGCUUGCUCCUCUGACGUUAGCGGCUGACGGGUGAGUAACACGUGGAUAACCUACCUAUAAGACUGGGAGAACUUCGGGAAACCGGAGCUAAUACCGGAUAAUAUAUUGAACCGCAUGGUUCAAUAGUGAAAGACGGCUUUGCUGUCACUUAUAGAUGGAUCCGCGCCGCAUUAGCUAGUUGGUAAGGUAACGGCCUACCAAGGCAACGAUGCGUAGCCGACCUGAGAGGAUGAUCAGCCACACUGGAACUGAGACACGGUCCAGACUCCUACGGGAGGCAGCAGUAGGGAAUAUUGCACAAUGGGCGAAAGCCUGAUGGAGCCACGCCGCGUGAGUGAAGAAGGUCUUCGGGUUGUAAAACCCUGUUAUUAGGGAAGAACAAAUGUGUAAGAAACUAUGCACGUCUUGACGGUACCUAAUCAGUAAGCAACGGCUAACUACGUG
rnacentral:rRNA from 1 species